GUAUCAUGGCUCAGGAUGAACGCUAGCGACAGGCCUAACACAUGCAAGUCGAGGGGCAGCGAAGAGGUAGCAAUACCUUUGUCGGCGACCGGCGCACGGGUGAGUAACACGUAUGCAAUCCACCUGUAACAGGGGGGAUAACCCGGAGAAAUCCGGACUAAUACCCCAUAAUAUGGGCGCUCCGCAUGGAGAGCCCAUUAAAAGAGAGCAAUUUUGGUUACAGACGAGCAUGCGCUCCA
rnacentral:rRNA from 1 species